rnacentral:rRNA from 1 species
GACGAACGCUGGCGGCGUGCUUAACACAUGCAAGUCGAACGGAAAGGCCCUGCUUUUGUGGGGUGCUCGAGUGGCGAACGGGUGAGUAACACGUGAGUAACCUGCCCUUGACUUUGGGAUAACUUCAGGAAACUGGGGCUAAUACCGGAUAGGAGCUCCUGCUGCAUGGUGGGGGUUGGAAAGUUUCGGCGGUUGGGGAUGGACUCGCGGCUUAUCAACUUUUUGGUGGGGUAGUGGCUUACCAAGGCUUUGACGGGUAGCCGGCCUGAGAGGGUGACCGGCCACAUUGGGACUGAGAUACGGCCCAGACUCCUACGGGAGGCAGCAGUGGGGAAUAUUGCACAAUGGGCGGAAGCCUGAUGCAGCAACGCCGCGUGCGGGAUGACGGCCUUCGGGCUGUAAACCGCUUUCGCCUGUGACGAAGCGUGAGUGACGGUAAUGGGUAAAGAAGCACCGGCUAACUACGUG